GGCCUGCGCGGAAGAUGUAACGGGGCUAAACCAUGCACCGAAGCUGCGGCAGCGACGCUUAUGCGUUGUUGGGUAGGGGAGCGUUCUGUAAGCCUGCGAAGGUGGCCUGUGAGGGCUGCUGGAGGUAUCAGAAGUGCGAAUGCUGACAUAAGUAACGAUAAAGCGGGUGAAAAGCCCGCUCGCCGGAAGACCAAGGGUUCCUGUCCAACGUUAAUCGGGGCAGGGUGAGUCGACCCCUAAGGCGAGGCCGAAAGGCGUAGUCGAUGGGAAACAGGUUAAUAUUCCUGUACUUGGUGUUACUGCGAAGGGGGGACGGAGAAGGCUAUGUUAGCCGGGCGACGGUUGUCCCGGUUUAAGCAUGUAGGCGGAGGUUCCAGGUAAAUCCGGUACCUUUUAACGCUGAGGUGUGAUGACGAGGCACUACGGUGCUGAAGUAACAAAUGCCCUGCUUCCA
rnacentral:rRNA from 1 species